UACGAAGGUCCCAAGCGUUGUUCGGAAUCAUUGGGCGUAAAGCGAGUGUAGGUGGCUUUGUAAGUCAGUGGUGAAAGCCCCGGGCUCAACCCGGGAAGUGCCAUUGAUACUGCAAAGCUUGAAUGUGGGAGAGGGUGCUAGAAUUCCUGGUGUAGUGGUGAAAUACGUAGAGAUCAGGAGGAAUUCCGGUGGCGAAGGCGGGUGCCUGGCCCAACAUUGACACUCAGACUCGAAAGCGUGGGGAUCAAAC
rnacentral:rRNA from 1 species